UCACUACAAAGUACUGGAAUUUUGUGGCCACUGCUAAUGAUAAUAUCAUUCUUUCUACAAGCUGUUGAUACAGUAUUGAAGUAUGAUUGUUGCAGGAAAUAAUAUUUAUAGAUGCUGCGAAGAAUUUGAAGGGUGGCUCAGUUGAUCUUUUGGUCGUCAACUCGUAUGGCUCUGCUUAUCAAGUAUGGUCCUGAUUUCGACUACUAUGCUUGAAUCAUACAUAAGCCAUCCAUCAUAAUUAAUGAACCUAUCUUUUCAGGCUAUUUUUAUGUGUCUCUUGUUUCCAUUCUUGUCAAAGUUAUGGGGUAUACCAUGCCAUCUACUGCCAACAUACAUCAGAGAUGGUGCAGCCUGCUUUCUAAAUAUGGGCUCGUUAUCUGCUGAUGAGUACUGCACUCCUCGUGUUAUCAAGUCACUCAAGAAAUAAUCUGCCAGUACUUGCAGUGCCUGAGUUGAUGGUGGUAGGUAGGUG